GCAGUUUUCUCCAACGAUUCCACGUUCUGCAGGGACGAUUGGAAACCGCUAUAGGUUUCCACAAAUUUCUCUGAAGUCGUAUCCCCUUUUAAUCAGAUUUCCUCGGUUUUCCAAAAUCUCAUCGUCUCUCAAUAUUAUGUUUUCAACUUCUAUAAACAAAAAGGAUGCAAGCUCAUCAGAAAGUACAAGGUAUGUUGCCGAUUGGCACGCUUUCUUUGUUUUAGAUGGGAGUCGAUUCAAUUAGUACGCCAUUUGUUUCGAUCUUUUGUCUCUAUGAUUUGGCCUCACGAAUUUACAUUAUUCUCCCAAUAGUUUUUAGAGAGCAUACGUGUGGGAUGAAGGAAGAAAUUAGGAAAAGACUGACUAAUUGUAAGGAUGGUUGAAGGGCUUAAACUGAUAUUUUCUAGAUGGUGGGAAUAAUCGUUCUAAGAGAGUUAGACAUCAAUCACGCCAAGAAUUUGUGGAACUAUACAUGGGGUUUUGCUUGCAAAUAGUUGAAAAACGAUCACGCGCUAGCUUUUGGGAGUACAGACUACAGUGUAAAUAAAUAAACAAGUAUCAUGAUUUCGGUGACUUAUGCAGUGUGGCAGAUGUGAAUUCUAUGACCAAUUUGCGAAAACUUCCAACGUA